rnacentral:rRNA from 1 species
UGGGGAAUUUUGCACAAUGGGGGAAACCCUGAUGCAGCGACGCCGCGUGAUUUAGAAGGCUUUCGGGUUGUAAAAAUCUUUUGUCUGGGAAGAAAAUGACAGUACCAUACGAAUAAGGACCGGCUAAUUACGUGCCAGCAGCCGCGGUAAUAUGUAAGGUCCGAGCGUUGUCCGGAAUCAUUGGGCGUAAAGGGUACGUAGGCGGAUAAGCAAGUUAGAAGUGAAAUCCUAUAGCUCAACUAUAGUAAGCUUUUAAAACUGCUCAUCUUGAGGUAUGGAAGGGAAAGUGGAAUUCCUAGUGUAGCGGUGAAAUGCGCAGAUAUUAGGAGGAAUACCGGUGGCGAGGACGACUUUCUGGCCAUAUACUGACGCUGAGGUACGAAAGCGUGGGUAGCAAACAGG